GAUGAAGAACGUAGCGAAAUGCGAUAAGUAAUGUGAAUUGCAGAAUUCAGUGAAUCAUCGAAUCUUUGAACGCACAUUGCGCCCAUUAGCAUUCUAGUGGGCAUGCCUGUUCGAGCGUCAUUUCAACCCUUAAGCCCUGUUGCUUAGCGUUGGGAGCCUACAGUACUGUAGCUCCCCAAAGUUAGUGGCGGAGUCGGUUUCACACUCUAGACGUAGUAAUUUUUUCUCGUCUGUAGUUGAGCCGGUCCCCUGCCGUAAAACACCCAAUUUAUCAAGGUUGACCUCGUAUCAGGUAGGAAUACCCGCUGAACUUAAGCAUAUCAAUAAGCGGAGGA
rnacentral:misc_RNA from 1 species